UGAAACUCGCCUACAUGAAGCUGGAGUUACUAGUAAUCGCAGAUCAGAAUGCUGCGGUGAAUGCGUUCCCGGGUCUUGUACACACCGCCCGUCACACCACGGGAGUUGGAGACGCCCGAAGCCGAUUAUCUAACCUUUUGGAAGAAGUCGUCGAAGGUGGAAUCAAUAACUGGGGUGAAGUCGUAACAAGGUAGCCGUAUCGGAAGGUGCGGCUGGAUCACCUCCUUUCUAAGGA
rnacentral:rRNA from 1 species